rnacentral:misc_RNA from 1 species
CUGAAAAAACUAUUUGAGUUUUUUAUAUCCCUUUGUUUACCUUCCCUGUUGCUUCCACCAGCGGAAGUUCUUCCAUUGGUGGUAAGAUUCUAUAAAGAAAUAUUUUGAUGGAAUAAAUGUCUGAUAAAACCCUGAAAAUAGAAAUA